rnacentral:rRNA from 1 species
GGCGAGUGAACCGGGAAGAGCUCAAAUUUGAAAUCUGGCGUCCUCAGGGCGUCCGAGUUGUAAUCUAUAGAGGCGUUUUCCGUGCCGGACCGUGUCCAAGUUCCUUGGAACAGGAUAUCAAAGAGGGUGACAAUCCCGUACUUGACACGACGACCGGUGCUCUGUGAUACGUCUUCUACGAGUCGAGUUGUUUGGGAAUGCAGCUCAAAAUGGGUGGUGAGUUCCAUCUAAAGCUAAAUAUUGGCGAGAGACCGAUAGCGAACAAGUACCGUGAGGGAAAGAUGAAAAGCACUUUGGAAAGAGAGUUAAACAGUACGUGAAAUUGUUGAAAGGGAAACGAUUGAAGUCAGUCGUGACCGAGAGGCUCAGCCGGCUCUGCCGGUGUAUUCCCCUCGGUCGGGUCAACAUCAGUUUUGUCCGGUGGAUAAGGGCGGUAGGAAGGUGGCACCCUCGGGUGUGUUAUAGCCUGCCGUCGCAUACAUCGGGUGAGACUGAGGAACGCAGCUCGCCUUUAUGGCCGGGGUUCGCCCACGUCCGAGCUUAGGAUGUUGACAUAAUGGCUUUAAACGACCCGUCUUGAAA